GAUGAACGCUGGCGGCGUGCCUAAUACAUGCAAGUCGAGCGAACAGAUGAGGAGCUUGCUCCUCUGACGUUAGCGGCGGACGGGUGAGUAACACGUGGAUAACCUACCUAUAAGACUGGGAUAACUUCGGGAAACCGGAGCUAAUACCGGAUAAUAUAUUGAACCGCAUGGUUCAAUAGUGAAAGACGGUUUUGCUGUCACUUAUAGAUGGAUCCGCGCCGCAUUAGCUAGUUGGUAAGGUAACGGCUUACCAAGGCAACGAUGCGUAGCCGACCUGAGAGGGUGAUCGGCCACACUGGAACUGAGACACGGUCCAGACUCCUACGGGAGGCAGCAGUAGGGAAUCUUCCGCAAUGGGCGAAAGCUUGACGGAGCAACGCCGCGUGAGUGAUGAAGGUCUUCGGAUCGUAAAACUCUGUUAUUAGGGAAGAACAAAUGUGUAAGUAACUAUGCACGUCUGGACGGUACCUAAGCAGAAAGCCACGGCUAACUACGG
rnacentral:rRNA from 1 species